GACGAACGCUGGCGGCGUGCUUAACACAUGCAAGUCGAACGGAAAGGCCCUGCUCUUGCGGGGUGCUCGAGUGGCGAACGGGUGAGUAACACGUGAGUAACCUGCCCUUGACUUUGGGAUAACUUCAGGAAAAUGGGGCUAAUACCGGGUAGGAGCUCCUGCUGCAUGGUGGGGGUUGGAAAGUUUCGGCGGUUGGGGAUGGACUCGCGGCUUAUCAGCUUGUUGGUGGGGUAGUGGCUUACCAAGGUUUUGACGGGUAGCCGGCCUGAGAGGGUGGCCGGCCACAUUGGGACUGAGAUACGGCCCAGACGCCUACGGGAGGCAGCAGUGGGGAAUAUUGCACAGUGGGCGGAAGCCUGAUGCAGCAACGCCGCGUGCGGGAUGACGGCCUUCGGGUUGUAAACCGCUUUCGCCUGUGACGAAGCGUGAGUGACGGUAAUGGGUAAAGAAGCACCGGCUAACUACGUG
rnacentral:rRNA from 1 species